ACCUGGCUUGCUCAUUCAGUAGAGCAUGAGACUCUCAAUCUCAGGGUUGUGAGUUCAAGGCUCAUUUUGGGCA
rnacentral:tRNA from 1 species